UGACCUCAAUAGGUAGACUACCCGCUGAACUUAGCUAUCAUAAGC
rnacentral:rRNA from 1 species